rnacentral:rRNA from 1 species
UACGGGGGAGGCAAGCGUUGUUCGGAAUUACUGGGCGUAAAGGGCUCGUAGGCGGCCAACUAAGUCGGACGUGAAAUCCCCAGGCUCAACCUGGGAACUGCGUCCGAUACUGGAUGGCUUGAAUCCGGGAGAGGGAUGCAGAAUUCCAGGUGUAGCGGUGAAAUGCGUAGAUAUCUGGAGGAAUACCGGUGGCGAAGGCGGCAUCCUGGACCGGCAUUGACGCUGAGGAGCGAAAGCCAGGGGAGCAAACGGG